AUUACUGAGUUUACGCUCUAUAACCCUUUGUGAACAUACCUAUAACUGUUGCUUCGGCGGGUAGGGUCCCCGUGACCCUCCCGGCCUCCCGCCCCCCGGGCGGGUCGGCGCCCGCCGGAGGAUAACCAAACUCUGAUUUAACGACGUUUCUUCUGAGUGGUACAAGCAAAUAAUCAAAACUUUUAACAACGGAUCUCUUGGUUCUGGCAUCGAUGAAGAACGCAGCGAAAUGCGAUAAGUAAUGUGAAUUGCAGAAUUCAGUGAAUCAUCGAAUCUUUGAACGCACAUUGCGCCCGCCAGCAUUCUGGCGGGCAUGCCUGUUCGAGCGUCAUUUCAACCCUCAAGCUCUGCUUGGUGUUGGGGCCCUACAGCUGAUGUAGGCCCUCAAAGGUAGUGGCGGACCCUCCCGGAGCCUCCUUUGCGUAGUAACUUUACGUCUCGCACUGGGAUCCGGAGGGACUCUUGCCGUAAAACCCCCAAUUUUCCAAAGGUUGACCUCGGAUCAGGUAGGAAUACCCGCUGAACUUAAGCAUAUCAAU
rnacentral:rRNA from 1 species